UCAAAGAUCAGUUGAAUGAAAUGAAG
rnacentral:piRNA from 1 species